rnacentral:rRNA from 1 species
UUGAAAUCUGGCACCUUCGGUGUCCGAGUUGUAAUUUGAAGAAGGUAACUUUGGAGUUGGCUCUUGUCUAUGUUCCUUGGAACAGGACGUCACAGAGGGUGAGAAUCCCGUGCGAUGAGAUGCCCAAUUCUAUGUAAAGUGCUUUCGAAGAGUCGAGUUGUUUGGGAAUGCAGCUCUAAGUGGGUGGUAAAUUCCAUCUAAAGCUAAAUAUUGGCGAGAGACCGAUAGCGAACAAGUACAGUGAUGGAAAGAUGAAAAGAACUUUGAAAAGAGAGUGAAAAAGUACGUGAAAUUGUUGAAAGGGAA